GGGAUCCAGAAGAGUCGUUACAAAUUCAGAAUAGAGAAGGAUGACAUGCCUAUAAUACAAGAUCUGAAGGUGAAAUAGGAGAAUCAGAAUAAAAAUGAGAGAUCUGUGAAGUAUGAUGAAAUUUGAGAGAUGUAAUGAAAAAAAGGAAAAGUGGGUCAACCUCCAAGAAAGGCUUGAGUUUGGGUUUGGAAUAGUGAAAAGGGAGAGAGAAAGUAGAGAGGAGAGGUGUAUGCAUACUUUUCAGUGUGUGAAUAGUACAAAUACUCUAUUAAAUUGGUCACUACGUGAGCAGAAUACACCAACUACCAUGGAAAAUGAAAAUACACCUUUUGACUUU
rnacentral:misc_RNA from 1 species